UACGAAGGGUGCAAACGUUGCUCGGAAUUAUUGGGCGUAAAGGGCGCGUAGGCGGCUUUGCGUGUCUUUCGUGAAAUCCCUCGGCUCAACUGAGGACGUGCGGAAGAAACUGCAGGGCUGGAGUCCGGGAGAGGAGGGUGGAAUUCCCAGUGUAGCGGUGAAAUGCGUAGAUAUCUGGAGGAACACCGGUGGCGAAGGCGGCAUCCUGGACCGAUACUGACGCUGAGGAGCGAAAGCCAGGGGAGCAAACGGG
rnacentral:rRNA from 1 species